UACAGAGGUCCCAAGCGUUGUUCGGAUUCACUGGGCGUAAAGGGUCGCGUAGGCGGUCGGGUAAGUCUGAUGUGAAAUCUCACAGCUUAACUGUGAAACUGCAUUGGAUACUAUUCGGCUUGAGAGUUGGAGGGGGGACUGGAAUUCUUGGUGUAGCAGUGAAAUGCGUAGAUAUCAAGAGGAACACCAGUGGCGAAGGCGAGUCCCUGGACAACUUCUGACGCUGAGGCACGAAAGCUAGGGGAGCAAACAGG
rnacentral:rRNA from 1 species